UGGAAUGGGAUAGAUGGGAUGUCGGACGGG
rnacentral:piRNA from 1 species